rnacentral:rRNA from 1 species
UACAGAGGUCCCAAGCGUUGUUCGGAUUCACUGGGCGUAAAGGGUGCGUAGGCGGUCGGGUAAGUCUGUCGUGAAAUCUCCGAGCCCAACUCGGAAACUGCGUCGGAUACUAUUCGGCUAGAGGGUUGGAGGGGGACUGGAAUUCUCGGUGUAGCAGUGAAAUGCGUAGAUAUCGAGAGGAACACCAGUGGCGAAGGCGAGUCCCUGGACAACUCCUGACGCUGAGGCACGAAAGCUAGGGGAGC